CAACUACUCCCUCCGUUCGGAAUUACUUGUCACGAAAAUGGAUGUAUCUAGAACUAAAAUACGUCUAGAUACAUCCAUUUUCGCGACAAGUAAUUUCAAUUGGAGGGAAUAGUUG
rfam:Triticum aestivum genome assembly, contig: Triticum_aestivum_CS42_TGACv1_scaffold_063481_1DL